GACGUAGGUGGCGAACGUUAUCCGGAAUCAUUGGGCGUAAAGGGUGCGUAGAUGGCAUGAUAAGUUAUUAGUGGGAAAUCGAGGCUCAACCUCGUGGAAGCUGGUAAUACUGUUUUGCUUGAGUGCAGGAGAGGUUAACGGAACUCCAUGUGGAGCGGUAAAAAUGCGUAGAUAUAUGGAAGAACAUCAAUAACGGCGAAGGCAGUUAACUAUUCUGCUACUGACAUUGAGGCACGAAAGCGUGGGGAGCAAAACGG
rnacentral:rRNA from 1 species